rnacentral:misc_RNA from 1 species
GAUGAAGAACGUAGCGAAAUGCGAUACGUAAUGUGAAUUGCAGAAUUCAGUGAAUCAUCGAAUCUUUGAACGCACAUUGCACUCUCUGGUAUUCCGGAGAGUAUGCUUGUUUGAGUAUCAGUAAACACCUCAAAUCUCUUGUUUCUUGUGAAUAAGAGAAUUGGACUUGAGCAAUCCCAACUCUUGCAAAAGAGGCGGGUUGCUUGAAAUGCAGGUGCAGCUGGACAUUCUUCUGAGCUAAAAGCAUAUUUAUUUAGUCCCGUAAAACGGAUUAUUACUUUUGCUGCAGCUAACAUAAAGGUUGAAUGGCCAAUAUGGCUGACUGAUGCAGGAUUAACAGAGAAUUUAUUCUUUGUAAACUCGAUCUCAAAUCAAGUAAGACUACCCGCUGAACUUAAGCAUAUCAAUAGCGGAGGA